rnacentral:rRNA from 1 species
CCCCUAGUAACUGCGAGUGAAGCGGGAAGAGCUCAAAUUUAAAAUCUGGCGGUUUUGCCGUCCGAGUUGUAAUCUGGAGAAGCGUUUUCCGUGCUGGACCGUGUACAAGUCUCUUGGAAUAGAGCGUCAUAGAGGGUGAGAAUCCCGUCUCUGACACGGACUGCCAGUGCUUUGUGAUACGCUCUCGAAGAGUCGAGUUGUUUGGGAAUGCAGCUCAAAAUGGGUGGUAAAUUCCAUCUAAAGCUAAAUAUUGGCGAGAGACCGAUAGCGAACAAGUACCGUGAGGGAAAGAUGAAAAGCACUUUGGAAAGAGAGUUAAACAGUACGUGAAAUUGUUGAAAGGGAAACGCUUGAAGUCAGUCGCGUCUUCUGGGACUCAGCGUGGCUUCUGCCUCGUGUACUUCCCAGUCGACGGGUCAACAUCGAUUUUGGUUGGCGGAUAAGGGCGAGAGGAAUGUGGCACCUCCGGGUGUGUUUAUAGCCUCUUGUCGGAUGCGCUGGCUGGGAUCGAGGACCGCAGCACGCCUUUUUGGCCGGGGUUUACCCACGUAACGUGCUUAGGAUGUUGGCAUAAUGGCUUUAAGCGACCCGUCUUGAAACACGGACCAAGGAGUCUAACACGCCUGCGAGUGUUAGGGUGGAAAACCCUUGCGCGUAAUGAAAGUGAAAGUUGGGACCUCUGUCAUGGAGGGCACCGACGCCCGGCCCUGAACUUCUGUGACGGCGCUGCGGUAGAGCAUGUGUGUUGGGACCCGAAAGAUGGUGAACUAUGCCUGAAUAGGGCGAAGCCAGAGGAAACUCUGGUGGAGGCUCGUAGCGAUUCUGACGUGCAAAUCGAUCGUCAAAUUUGGG